rnacentral:rRNA from 1 species
UACGAAGGGGGCUAGCGUUGCUCGGAAUCACUGGGCGUAAAGGGCGCGUAGGCGGAUCUUUAAGUCGGGGGUGAAAGCCUGAGGCUCAACCUCAGAAUUGCCUUCGAUACUGGAGAUCUUGAGACCGGAAGAGGUAAGUGGAACUGCGAGUGUAGAGGUGAAAUUCGUAGAUAUUCGCAAGAACACCAGUGGCGAAGGCGGCUUACUGGUCCGGUACUGACGCUGAGGUGCGAAAGCGUGGGGAGCAAACAGG